CAUAUUUUUUAGAUUUCCUUGAGCUCAUUGACACUUCUACUUUCUGAGUCUUCGAAACAAAAAAUACGAAGUUUAGCUUCGUCCGCGUUAUUUUUGUGGAUUGUAUUAAAUGAUAUACUCAAAGAAAAUCUUUGAAAAACCUCUGUUUUCUCCCCAAGUUGGUUCAGCUGGCGGUGGCGGGGGUGACUGUAUGUUCGGUUCCUUUAUGCUACAAGCGAGAUGGUGUUAUACAAGCAGUCCACUUUUUCCAACGUGUUUUGCAUAUUUUAGUGGCCCAUGUGUUAUAAAUUUUCGCCUUAAUUACUCUGCGUAUAAUCUAUCUUUAUCCGGUUUCUCUAGCUCAUUAUUUUCUGCCUGAUAUCUUUAGGUAAACUAUGGGUGAAAUUAGAUAACGCAAUAUUGAUUUUGAGAGGAAUGGAAAUACAAUGAUAAGGAUGUCGAUAUUGACUGUUUCGGAUCUGAGGUACCAUUGUUGUUUGCUCGUGCAUUGUUGACUGCUCUUCUGCGAAGGCAGCAAGCGAAGAAGCGUUUGCCAUAUCGAUCGUCUCAGUGGCCCGCACACAAAAUUUUCCCACGGCUAAUAUUAUAACAUUAUUUUUUAUACAUUAAGCAAACAGUAUUGUAUUGGUUCAUUGGAAUCCGACUGAUUUCUAUUUUUUACGUAACACAGAUUUUGUCCUUAGUGGAACUUAGAACUCCUUUGUGAUGUAUUAAGUAUUAAUGAAAUCAUUUCCAUUAAUGAAUCAUGCUGCUCAGAAAUUGUCUGAAACUUAUGCGGAGCCUUUCGCGUAGAAUGUUCACAACGUAGAAUUUUGUUCUCUUCGGACGGGGGUCGAUGGCGCGUCAAAUUCAACAAAGCCACAGAUCAUCGGAUGGCUGAAUCCUAAUUCCUUUCUGUCAAUUCAAUUUAUUAAUAAUUCAACUCUAAUUCGAGCAGUCAAGCUAUUGUGUGAAUUCCUUUUUGGACGAUGAAAUGAAACCUUAAUAGGCGAUUUUGAUUUUUAUUUGAAGUGAAUUUUCACGUGAUCGUCUUUUUACUGCCGUGCACUUGGCCUGUUCCCAGGAGAAAAUAUUAUUGGUUCCAGAUAAAUAUCUGCUGAGAAGGACAUCUUUUUAACCCUUUCAUCAUUCUUUCUGCUGGUUUGGCCUGAUCAAUACCUGUCGUUGACACUCUUAGUUUUCAACUCCGCUCUCCCAUCAGAGAAAAGAGAAGCCAAUUUCAACAGCCUCUUUGUUCUUUCCCUUCUUCAAUUUUAGAAAGGAUUUGAAAAUCGCCAAAAUGCUUCCAAAAUAUCUGGCUCUCAUUCUCAGUUUUGUCCUGGCUCUUGAUGCGUUUGCGUUCCACACACCCAGAGGCAUGGACCAGUUGACGGGAGCCCACCACGAGGCCAUGUGUGACACGGAAGACGACUUCGCUUGUCACUCUGGAUCGGUGGCCUGCAUUCCGGGCAAGUGGGUCUGUGACGAUUUCGGAGACUGUGAUGACGGCAGUGACGAAUUGUUUUGUAUCGACGGAGUUCCAGUGUUUAUGGCUAGUCGCGGUUAAUAAAACGAAGAAAUCAAGUUCGGAUUGGAGCAUAGUCAUUGAACGCUUGAAAAUUCGAAGACCCCGUCUUCUGUACUUUGAGAACUAACUUAAAAUCUUCGCUUAUUUUCCAUUAGUGUCUAAACAAUUUAAAAUUAAUAUCUAACAUCUUA